rnacentral:rRNA from 1 species
UACGUAGGUGGCAAGCGUUGUCCGGAUUUAUUGGGUUUAAAGGGUGCGUAGGCGGUCUAUUAAGUCAGUGCUGAAAUAUCCCGGCUUAACCGGGAGGGUGGCAUUGAUACUGAUGGACUUGAGUAAAGUUGAGGUUGGCGGAAUUGACGGUGUAGCGGUGAAAUGCUUAGAUAUCGUCAAGAACACCUAUUGCGAAGGCAGCUAACUAAGCUUAAACUGACGCUGAGGCGCGAAAGUGUGGGGAUCAAACAGG